rnacentral:rRNA from 1 species
GACGAACCGAGCGAACGUUGUUCGGAAUCACUGGGCAUAAAGGGUGCGUAGGCGGGCCACCAAGUCUGCGGUGAAAUUCUCUGGCUUAACCAGAGUAGUGCCGCGGAUACUGGGGGCCUCGAGGGAGGUAGGGGCGUGCGGAACUCUGGGUGGAGCGGUGAAAUGCGUUGAUAUCCAGAGGAACUCCGGUGGCGAAGGCGGCACGCUGGACCUUUUCUGACGCUGAGGCACGAAAGCCAGGGGAGCGAACGGG